UACUGCGAUAAGUGUGUCAUUUCUAUCAUUAAGACUGCUCUAAUAGACCCCAUGUUAUAUUCUUGUGCCGCAAUAGCAAACGAUCAUAGAACAAAUCCUGGACGGUCUCACAGGCCUGAAGAUGUGUCCAUACUUAUUAGUUCUAAGCUAACUUUGUAUAUGACUCAGCGAUCAUGUUAGGCGAAUGCUAGUGCAGAAUUACAUUAUACAAUGUCAUCCGUGAGUCAAAGAUAAGUGACAGGGAAGUGGUUCCGUUUGGGUGGACUAUAUUUUGAAGAAUGUUUUGUUACCAUCACUCAGUUGAUUUCUCUGAGACCUCCUAAUCCUAAUAUUUUUUGCAAUGGAAGAUUGCAAGAGUGCUAUUGCAUAAGAUACGACAAAUUGCCUAGGAUAUCAUGUGCUAGUGGAUGGUGUAGCUAUAAGGGUCACCUGCAUGUUUCCUGACUGCAGAGUAGU
rnacentral:lncRNA from 1 species